UCUGUGAACAAGCCAAACAACAGUGACACAGCUGCUUCAGUUUGGCACCCUCUGCCGUUUAGAGCCAAGUGUUGACAGGGGAUAGGAUGGUGCAGAAAAACAUUUUUAUGUGUAUUAUCUCUUCAGCUUUCGAAAAGUACCAAAUAACCAGCUCCUGAGAACCAUCUGUGGUGGACAUGGCAAAAGAAGCGACUGCCAAUUCUGUUAUCCGCAGAUCAGGUUAACUGUUUCCACAUUGCCUGAAGAUGCAGCAGUGGUUAUUGUCUCUAACAAGUACAUUCCUGCUGAGUGUUUAACUCCUGCAAAAUGAAGGUUACCCAAGUAGAUGCUACACAUAAAUGAGUCAUGAAUCCUG
rnacentral:lncRNA from 1 species